rnacentral:rRNA from 1 species
AUGAUGAACGCUAGCUACAGGCUUAACACAUGCAAGUCGAGGGGCAGCAUGGUCUUAGCUUGCUAAGGCCGAUGGCGACCGGCGCACGGGUGAGUAACGCGUAUCCAACCUGCCUUACACUCUUGGACAGCCUUCUGAAAGGGAGAUUAAUACAAGAUGUUAUCAUGAGUAAGCAUUUUCGCAUGAUUAAAGGUUUACCGGUGUAAGAUGGGGAUGCGUUCCAUUAGAUAGUAGGCGGGGUAACGGCCCACCUAGUCUUCGAUGGAUAGGGGUUCUGAGAGGAAGGUACCCCACAUUGGAACUGAGACACGGUCCAAACUCCUACGGGAGGCAGCAGUGAGGAAUAUUGGUCAAUGGACGAGAGUCUGAACCAGCCAAGUAGCGUGAAGGAUGAAGGUUCUAUGGAUUGUAAACUUCUUUUAUACGGGAAUAAACGGAUCCACGUGUGGAUUUUUGCAUGUACCGUAUGAAUAAGGAUCGGCUAACUCCGUGCCAGCAGCCGCGGUAAUACGGAGGAUCCGAGCGUUAUCCGGAUUUAUUGGGUUUAAAGGGAGCGUAGAUGGGUUGUUAAGUCAGUUGUGAAAGUUUGCGGCUCAACCGUAAAAUUGCAAUUGAUACUGGCAGUCUUGAGUACAGUUGAGGUAGGCGGAAUUCGUGGUGUAGCGGUGAAAUGCUUAGAUAUCACGAAGAACUCCGAUUGCGAAGGCAGCUUACUAACCUGUAACUGACAUUGAUGCUCGAAAGUGUGGGUAUCAAACAGGAUUUAGAUACCCUGGUAGUCCACACGGUAAACGAUGAAUACUCGCUGUAGGCGAUAUACAGUCUGCGGCCAAGCGAAAGCAUUAAGUAUUCCACCUGGGGAGUACGCCGGCAACGGUGAAACUCAAAGGAAUUGACGGGGGCCCGCACAAGCGGAGGAACAUGUGGUUUAAUUCGAUGAUACGCGAGGAACCUUACCCGGGCUUAAAUUGCAACCGAAUAUGGCGGAAACGCUAUAGCUAGCAAUAGCGGUUGUGAAGGUGCUGCAUGGUUGUCGUCAGCUCGUGCCGUGAGGUGUCGGCUUAAGUGCCAUAACGAGCGCAACCCUUGCCGAUAGUUACUAACAGGUCAUGCUGAGGACUCUGUCGGGACUGCCAUCGUAAGAUGUGAGGAAGGUGGGGAUGACGUCAAAUCAGCACGGCCCUUACGUCCGGGGCUACACACGUGUUACAAUGGGGGGUACAGAGGGCUGCUACCACGCAAGUGGAUGCCAAUCCCAAAAACCUCUCUCAGUUCGGAUUGAAGUCUGCAACCCGACUUCAUGAAGCUGGAUUCGCUAGUAAUCGCGCAUCAGCCACGGCGCGGUGAAUACGUUCCCGGGCCUUGUACACACCGCCCGUCAAGCCAUGGGAGCCGGGGGUACCUGAAGUGCGUAACCGCAAGGAGCGCCCUAGGGUAAAACU